rnacentral:tRNA from 1 species
GGUCGAAGGAGCACGACUGGAAAUCGUGUAUACGGCAAAACCGUAUCGAGGGUUCAAAUCCCUCCCUCUCCG